GACGAACGCUGGCGGCGUGCCUAAUACAUGCAAGUAGAACGCACAGUUUAUACCGUAGCUUGCUACACCAUAGACUGUGAGUUGCGGACGGGUGAGUAACGCGUAGGUAACCUGCCUGGUAGCGGGGGAUAACUAUUGGAAACGAUAGCUAAUACCGCAUAAUAUUAAUUAUUGCAUGAUAAUUAAUUGAAAGGUGCAAUUGCACCACUACCAGAUGGACCUGCGUUGUAUUAGCUAGUAGGUGAGGUAACGGCUCACCUAGGCGACGAUACAUAGCCGACCUGAGAGGGUGAUCGGCCACACUGGGACUGAGACACGGCCCAGACUCCUACGGGAGGCAGCAGUAGGGAAUCUUCGGCAAUGGACGAAAGUCUGACCGAGCAACGCCGCGUGAGUGAAGAAGGUUUUCGGAUCGUAAAGCUCUGUUGUAAGAGAAGAACGGGUGUGAGAGUGGAAAGUUCACACUGUGACGGUAUCUUACCAGAAAGGGACGGCUAACUACGUG
rnacentral:rRNA from 1 species